GUUGGUACGUAUUACUAUUGUGUUUGGUAUUUGUGUUGGUACAUAUUACUAUUGUGUUUGGUAUUUGUGUUGGUACGUAUAACUACUGUGUUUGGUAUUGCAUUUUUGUUAUUCUGUUUGGUGUUUGUAUGUCUAACUGUUGUGUUUAGUCAGUUCCGUAAGUCAAAGCUGUAUAGGUUUGACUUUAUAAUAUGAAGCUUGUAAUUACGGACAUAAACCUUAUCAAGUGUCAUUCAGUUGUUAUGGUUGCUGGCUGCCUUAUUUGUUAUUUGUUUGUUCUUUGAUGCAUAGAUCAGGCAGUUGUUUUUUUCCCUUUUGAAUUGUUUCCAGUUCUCUUAUGUCUGAGUUUUGCUUUUUGUUAAAUCCAUUCCUUUAGAGGAUAUUUGUCUUAUUGGCACUCAUACAUAGCCUUAUUCAUAUUAUAUAUUAUGUAUUAUAGCAUAUUAUCCCUCGUACACUCUUGUGCCAACCAGUAUUAGCUAUAGGGACCAUAUAUUUCAUGCUUGCACACACCUGUCACCAUUACAUUUCUUUUUUCAAUGAAGCUUGAAAUCGGUGCAUAUAUUGUAAAAACUUUCACUUCAUAAAGAACAAUUGUU
rnacentral:lncRNA from 1 species